AUUGAACGCUGGCGGCAGGCCUAACACAUGCAAGUCGAGCGAGCGGCGGACGGGUGAGUAAUGUCUGGGAAACUGCCUGAUGGAGGGGGAUAACUACUGGAAACGGUAGCUAAUACCGCAUACCAUCAGAUGUACCCAGAUGGGAUUAGCUAGGAGGUGGGGUAACGGCUCACCUAGGCGACGAUCCCUAGCUGGUCUGAGAGGAUGACCAGCCACACUGGAACUGAGACACGGUCCAGACUCCUACGGGAGGCAUCAGUUGGUAAUAUUGCACAAUGGGCGAAAGCCUGAUGCAGCCAUGCCGCGUGUAUGAAGAAGGCCUUCGGGUUGUAAAGUACUUUCAGCGGGGAGGCGUUACCCGCAGAAGAAGCACCGGCUAACGCCGUGCCAGCAGCCGCGGUAAUUC
rnacentral:rRNA from 1 species